CACGGACAGAGGAGCCUGGCGGGCUAUGGUCCCUGGGGUCACGAAGAGUCAGACACGACUGAAAUGCGGCCUGGCCCACAGGAGGCACCUGUACGUGGUCCUGGAGCUCAGUGUGUGUUACGCGGCUCAGAGGAGAGAAGAAUCUGGAAGCUGAUGAGAGCCCCGGCCGCCCUCGUGAAAAUCCUAACCCCAUCAGAGGUGAGAAGCAGCAGUUUCCUGUUGAAGUAACCCGGGGACGCCGAGCAUCUUAAACGAAUGUGUUUAAACUUGACCAUGAAAUAAAAUAGUUGAACUCUU